AACGAACGCUGGCGGCAGGCUUAACACAUGCAAGUCGAACGCCCCGCAAGGGGAGUGGCAGACGGGUGAGUAACGCGUGGGAAUCUACCGUACCCUACGGAAUAACGCAUGGAAACGUGUGCUAAUACCGUAUACGCCCUUAGGGGGAAAGAUUUAUCGGGGUAUGAUGAGCCCGCGUUGGAUUAGCUAGUUGGUGGGGUAAAGGCCUACCGAGGCGACGAUACAUAGCUGGUCUGAGAGGAUGAUCAGCCACAUUGGGACUGAGACACGGCCCAAACUCCUACGGGAGGCAGCAGUGGGGAAUAUUGGACAAUGGGCGCAAGCCUGAUCCAGCCAUGCCGCGUGAGUGAUGAAGGUCUUAGGAUUGUAAAGCUCUUUCGCAGGUGAAGAUAAUGACGGUAACCUGAGAAGAAGCCCCGGCUAACUUCGUGCCAGCCGCCGCGGUAAAAC
rnacentral:rRNA from 1 species